AUUGAGCGCUGGCGGCAGGCCUAACACAUGCAAGUCGAGCGGAUGAAGGGAGCUUGCUCCUGGAUUCAGCGGCGGACGGGUGAGUAAUGCCUAGGAAUCUGCCUGGUAGUGGGGGAUAACGUCCGGAAACGGGCGCUAAUACCGCAUACGUCCUGAGGGAGAAAGUGGGGGAUCUUCGGACCUCACGCUAUCAGAUGAGCCUAGGUCGGAUUAGCUAGUUGGUGGGGUAAAGGCCUACCAAGGCGACGAUCCGUAACUGGUCUGAGAGGAUGAUCAGUCACACUGGAACUGAGACACGGUCCAGACUCCUACGGGAGGCAGCAGUGGGGAAUAUUGGACAAAGGGCGAAAGCCUGAUCCAGCCAUGCCGCGUGUGUGAAGAAGGUCUUCGGAUUGUAAAGCACUUUAAGUUGGGAGGAAGGGCAGUAAGUUAAUACCUUGCUGUUUUGACGUUACCAACAGAAUAAGCACCGGCUAACUUCGUG
rnacentral:rRNA from 1 species